UACGGGGGGGGCAAGCGUUGUUCGGAAUUACUGGGCGUAAAGGGCUCGUAGGUGGCCAACUAAGUCAGACGUGAAAUCCCUCGGCUUAACCGGGGAACUGCGUCUGAUACUGGAUGGCUUGAGUGUGGGAGAGGGAUGCGGAAUUCCAGGUGUAGCGGUGAAAUGCGUAGAUAUCUGGAGGAACACCGGUGGCGAAGGCGGGUCUCUGGGCAGUAACUGACGCUGAGGAGCGAAAGCGUGGGGAGCGAACAGG
rnacentral:rRNA from 1 species